UGCACUGAAAAUUUGAAAGAUGAGGAGG
rnacentral:piRNA from 1 species